rfam:Drechmeria coniospora strain ARSEF 6962 chromosome 03, whole genome shotgun sequence.
GGUGCUUUGGCCGAGUGGUUAAGGCGACGCCCUGCGUAAGUGUCUCGAGCACAUCUUUCAGGUGAUCAAAUAACUAACAGUAGUAAUAGUACUAUAUACAAGUCUCAAGGCGUUGGGUUCGCCCGCGUAGGUUCGAAUCCUGCAGGCAUCG